rnacentral:rRNA from 1 species
GACAGAGGGUGCAAACGUUGUUCGGAAUUACUGGGCGUAAAGCGCGUGUAGGCGGCUAUUGCAAGUCGGGUGUGAAAGCCCUGGGCUCAACCUAGGAAGUGCACUCGAAACUGCGAGCUUGAAGUCUGGAGAGGAACGCGGAAUUCUCGGUGUAGAGGUGAAAUUCGUAGAUAUCGAGAGGAACACCGGUGGCGAAGGCGGCGUUCUGGACAGCACUUGACGCUGAGACGCGAAAGCGUGGGGAGCAAACAGGG